rnacentral:misc_RNA from 1 species
UGAAAACUACGUGAAAUUGGGGUUAUCCAACCACCCAGAACCUGAAUCCGACCCUUCUACUGCUUUAUUUGAGGUUAAUUCUGAUCUCUCUGCUUCUGCUUCUGCCUCUGAUUGUGCUUGGUCUCUUUACGAUGAUCUGUAUCUCGAUACUAUGUAUAACGAUUCUGAAGUCCCUGAUGUUCUCGACCCUCAAAUCGGUGUUACCAAAGUGGAGAAAGGGGUUUUUAUGGCG